rnacentral:lncRNA from 1 species
GUGGUAAAAAAAUAAAUACGAUACUCUGGAUAACCUCCCGGGUGAAGUACUCACCGAUAUCCGUGCUCUUGCGGAUCAAUUCCUUAUUGCGUUCCCAAAUAUCAACAAGCAUUUCUGGCGCCGUUGCCGGGGAGAAAGACGGUUUGCUGAGACAACCUAGAGUCUUACUACUAACUUGUAUCUAUACUUUUAUCUUUUCUUAUCUUUUAUAUUCUUUCUUUAUUUUCUUUAUUCUUACCUUAUGGAAAACCAAAAUUCUAAAUCGAUCCAUGAAUCUGCAAUCCCUUUAGUAACUGACCUUUUACCAUGGGAAUCAUCACAGCCUAUCCAAACAUCCCAGUAUAAGUUA